UUGCAUAUCAAUAAGCGGAGGAAAAGAAAAUAACAAUGAUUCCCCUAGUAACGGCGAGUGAACAGGGAAAAGCUCAAAGUUGGAACCUCCUGGUCCUAGAUUAGGCGGAUUGUAAACUAAAGCUCUUGGGUAGUACGGUUGGCCUGAUAAAAAAGUUCUCUGGAAAGAGGCGACAUAGAGGGUGAUAUCCCCGUCUUUGGUCAGAGCUCAAUCAUGCGUUUGCCCUUUAGCGAAGAGUCAGGUUGUUUGGGAAUGCAGCCUAAAAUGGGAGGUAAAUCUCUCCUAAAGCUAAAUAUUGACGAAAGACCGAUAGCGAACAAGUACCGUGAGGGAAAGAUGAAAAGCACUUUGAAAAGAGGGUCAAAAAGUACGUGAAAUUGCUGAAAGGGAACCGUAUGAAAUCAGUCUGAUGUGUUGGUAAUCAAUCUGGAUCUCGAUCCGGAUGCACUUGCCGAUGUAUUAGCCUGCGACAGUUUGAUCUGGAGGAAAAAAGAUGGGAGAAUGUGGCCUUGGCUUCGGUUAAGGUGUUAUAGCUCCUGUCAAAAUACUUUGGAUUGGACUGAGGACUGCAGCGAGCCGCAAGGUAAAGGUCUCGGGCGCUUGCUCUGGUUAUGUAAGAAAUCUCUGCUUCGGGUGGUAUCUUGCCUAAUCGGGACAACACGCUUGUUUCUCUUUUUUUCUCGCUUAGGUCGUAGGCAUAAUGAUUUUAUAUGACCCGUCUUGAAAC
rnacentral:rRNA from 1 species